rnacentral:rRNA from 2 species
CGGACGGGUGAGUAACACGUGGGCAACCUGCCUGUAAGACUGGGAUAACUUCGGGAAACCGGAGCUAAUACCGGAUAAUCCUUUUCUACUCAUGUAGAAAAGCUGAAAGACGGUUUACGCUGUCACUUACAGAUGGGCCCGCGGCGCAUUAGCUAGUUGGUGAGGUAACGGCUCACCAAGGCGACGAUGCGUAGCCGACCUGAGAGGGUGAUCGGCCACACUGGGACUGAGACACGGCCCAGACUCCUACGGGAGGCAGCAGUAGGGAAUCUUCCGCAAUGGACGAAAGUCUGACGGAGCAACGCCGCGUGAGUGAUGAAGGUUUUCGGAUCGUAAAACUCUGUUGUUAGGGAAGAACAAGUACGAGAGUAACUGCUCGUACCUUGACGGUACCUAACCAGAAAGCCACGGCUAACUACGUGCCAGCAGCCGCGGUAAUACGUAGGUGGCAAGCGUUGUCCGGAAUUAUUGGGGCGAAAGCGCGCGCAGGCGGUCCUUUA